UUGGAGGGCAAGUCUGGUGCCAGCAGCCGCGGUAAUUCCAGCUCCAAUAGCGUAUAUUAAAGUUGCUGCAGUUAAAAAGCUCGUAGUUGAAUUUCGGGACCAUCAUGUCGGUCGUGCCUCGGUACGUACUGGCAUUGUUGGUUUCUCCCUUCUGACGAACCAUGAUGUCAUUUAUUUGGUGUCGUGGGAAAUCAGGACUGUUACUUUGAAAAAAUUAGAGUGUUUAAAGCAGGCUCGCGCUUGAAUACAUUAGCAUGGAAUAAUGAAAUAGGACGUUUAAUUCUAUUUUGUUGGUUUCUAGGAUUGACGUAAUGAUUAAUAGGGAUAGUUGGGGGCAUUAGUAUUCAAUUGUCAGAGGUGAAAUUCUUGGAUUUAUUGAAGACUAACUACUGCGAAAGCAUUUGCCAAGGAUGUUUUCAUUAAUCAAGAACGAAAGUUAGGGGAUCGAAGACGAUCAGAUACCGUCGUAGUCUUAACCAUAAACUAUGCCGACUAGGGAUCGGAUGAUGUUAAUUUUUUAAUGACUCAUUCGGCGCCUUACGGGAAACCAAAGUGUUUGGGUUC
rnacentral:rRNA from 1 species